rnacentral:rRNA from 1 species
AGAGUUUGAUCAUGGCUCAGGAUGAACGCUGGCGGCGUGCUUAACACAUGCAAGUCGAACGAUGAUGCCCACUUGUGGGUGGAUUAGUGGCGAACGGGUGAGUAACACGUGAGUAACCUGCCCUUGACUCUGGGAUAAGCCUGGGAAACUGGGUCUAAUACCGGAUAUGACCUUCCAUCGCAUGGUGGUUGGUGGAAAGCUUUUGUGGUUUUGGAUGGACUCGCGGCCUAUCAGCUUGUUGGUGGGGUAAUGGCCUACCAAGGCGACGACGGGUAGCCGGCCUGAGAGGGUGACCGGCCACACUGGGACUGAGACACGGCCCAGACUCCUACGGGAGGCAGCAGUGGGGAAUAUUGCACAAUGGGCGCAAGCCUGAUGCAGCGACGCCGCGUGAGGGAUGACGGCCUUCGGGUUGUAAACCUCUUUCAGUAGGGAAGAAGCGAAAGUGACGGUACCUGCAGAAGAAGCGCCGGCUAACUACGUGCCAGCAGCCGCGGUAAUACGUAGGGCGCAAGCGUUAUCCGGAAUUAUUGGGCGUAAAGAGCUCGUAGGCGGUUUGUCGCGUCUGCCGUGAAAGUCCGGGGCUCAACUCCGGAUCUGCGGUGGGUACGGGCAGACUAGAGUGAUGUAGGGGAGACUGGAAUUCCUGGUGUAGCGGUGAAAUGCGCAGAUA